GGAAUCUUCGGCAAUGGACGAAAGUCUGACCGAGCAACGCCGCGUGAGUGAAGAAGGUUUUCGGAUCGUAAAACUCUGUUGGUAGAGAGGAACGUUGGUGAGAGUGGAAAGCUCAUCAAGUGACGGUAACUACCCAGAAAGGGACGGCUAACUACGUGCCAC
rnacentral:rRNA from 1 species